GGAUUGGCUUGUUCAUCUAGACUGUGCACACAAGGAACAGUGCAUAAGAUGACCCAGUGGUUUGCAGCACCACCCAAGAACAUACAUGCAACUACAAGGUAAAAGAAGAACUUUUCCCAGUUCUGGGAAACAAAUCUGGGCUAUCUGAAUAAGGUUCUCCUGGAAUGGUGGCUUUUGCUUUGUGCUGGAUGGCUUCUAGUGGUAUGGAUUCCCUAAACUUUUGCUGCACACAAUGAAGAUAAACAUCUUUUAAAGAUUCUUGCCACAACCGCUACUAAAAAAAAGAACCAAACCACAGUCAAGAUAUUUGAGUUGCAGAAAAGAUGCAGACCAAAGACAGCAGUCCACCAGAUGGUGGCUAUGGAUGGGUUGUGGUAGUGUCAGCAUUCAUAGUGAUGGGCCUCACUGCUGCUGUCCUCAAGACUUUUGGUCUCUUCUUUGCUGAAAUCCAGGAGCACUUUGAUGAACUUGCAAGCACCAUUUCUUGGAUCACAUCGAUAACGAUUGCCACCUUUCAUUUAGGAGGGACCAGAAGACUUACUGAUGAAGAUCACCUGAGCCUCCAGUUCCUUAAGCAUCUUUCCUGGCCUCGCUUAGCCCUUCCUAACAUGUUCCACUGUGAAACCCUCAGUGUCAUUCGGCUCAGUAUGAAGGAUGAUCAGUGAAUUACUAAUUUUUCCCAUUUGGAUAUUUUCAACAGCUUCUCUGUGUCUUGCAUAGAAGGAGACCUUGUUUCUGUCUGAGGAUCUGCAUCUGCAACAGGCUGUUUGAUUUACCAAGAGCAAGGAUUUUCCCCAUCAAAUAGGCCUCCUUUUCAUAUUAGUGUGACUCUUCCAUCACCUCUCUCUCUGGCACUGUGAUUGCAAGUUUUCUGAGUAUUGCCCUUUAUCCUUUCAGACUCUAUUCCCUUGUUAUCUUCUUCAUUUCCAGUUCUGUGGCUAGCUCCUUUCUUCCUCCUGCUACCCCAUGUUGAAUUUCUG
rnacentral:lncRNA from 1 species